GACGAACGCUGGCGGCGUGCCUAAUACAUGCAAGUAGAACGCUGAAGAGAGGAGCUUGCUCUUCUUGGAUGAGUUGCGAACGGGUGAGUAACGCGUAGGUAACCUGCCUGGUAGCGGGGGAUAACUAUUGGAAACGAUAGCUAAUACCGCAUAAAAUUGAUUAUUGCAUGAUAAUUAAUUGAAAGAUGCAACUGCAUCACUACCAGAUGGACCUGCGUUGUAUUAGCUAGUUGGUGAGGUAACGGCUCACCAAGGCGACGAUACAUAGCCGACCUGAGAGGGUGAUCGGCCACACUGGGACUGAGACACGGCCCAGACUCCUACGGGAGGCAGCAGUAGGGAAUCUGCGGCAAUGGGGGGAACCCUGACCGAGCAACGCCGCGUGAGUGAAGAAGGUUUUCGGAUCGUAAAGCUCUGUUGUAAGAGAAGAACGGGUGUGAGAGUGGAAAGUUCACACUGUGACGGUAUCUUACCAGAAAGGGACGGCUAACUACGUG
rnacentral:rRNA from 1 species